rnacentral:lncRNA from 1 species
UUAAGAUCAAUCUGAAAGCCCACCACUCAUCAUCAUUGAAUGUCUUUCAGCCAGUUGUCUUAGUGACCCAUAAGGCUUCCAAGUCUUGAUGGAAUCGAUGAUCUAUCUUACUUGAUCUAGGCUUGCAUGAACUGGAUCCUUGGGCUUUAUGGGAUUGGGCCUUUUCUCGGGCCUUGCUUCCCUAUUAGCACAAAAUUUGAUGGUCGCCUCCUGGGGUCGCAUCAUGUCUAAUCCACGUGGGGCGUUAGGCUUGGUUUGUGCACAUGUCCCAUCGCGCACAGACAGGUAAAGCUCUAUGCGCCCUAUGCAUGCAUCGUCCGUGUAGCUAGCCUGUGCGUAGAAGGCUUGCCCGCAAUGCAUUGUGAGCAGUAUCUUGUGCACAAGCUAGGCCUGCGCGUGAUAGGCUAGGUCGGUGCAUCAGCAGGCUAGGGCUACAGUGCGCGAUAGACUGGGGCAACGAGCUACUGCUUCAGAUAGUAUACGUCUCCCCCUUCAACGCCAUACGGUGCCUUAGGUAGCGUGCGCAAUCGGUUGGGUAGCAACUGCUAACUGAGAUGUGUGCCAUUUUUAUUUUGGCAACAUGCCACCAUCAUUGGGUGGCGUGCCACUAUUUUUUGUACCACCAUCAUGUUGUGUCAUCCAUCCAUCGGUCACAUCUGUCAGUCACAUCUGUCAGUCAUCACAUCACUUUAUUUCCUAUUAACUUUCUCUCUCCUCACCAAAUUUUGCCACUCAGUGCAAAUUCGACGGUCUCCAUUUUUUAUAAAUAGGGACCCUUCCUUCAUCAUUUCCUCAUCACUU